GUGAAUAGUGGUCAUAUUAUUAAGUUUUAAGGCUAAAAAUGGAGGUUUUGAUGGAUGAGUUGGAGAAAGAGAAGUUGAGGUGAGAAAGUAACUGGCUAGGAGCUGUCAUGAGGUGAUUUGAGAUUUGUUAGAAGUGUUUUGUGAGUGAAAUCUGAUAUGUAGCAAAGAUUUGGUUCAUAGUUGAAGUUGUAAAGCAUUUUUGUUAUAAAAUGGGAUUUUAAUUUGCGAGAUAUUGAUGUAAAGUAUGUGAAUUGUUUUG
rnacentral:lncRNA from 1 species